rnacentral:SRP_RNA from 2 species
CUUUGGGCAAUGGUGGGCCGGCUAAUUGUGUCAGAUCCGGAAGGAAGCAGCACUACGUUGGUGCCGCCAUGUGCCUAUUAUUU